rnacentral:tRNA from 1 species
GGGCUUGUAGCUCAGUUGGUUAGAGCGCUGCAUUUGCAAUGCAGAGGUCAAGGGUUCGAAUCCCUUCAGGUCCA